UACGUAGGGGGCAAGCGUUGUCCGGAAUCAUUGGGCGUAAAGAGCGUGUAGGCGGCCCGAUAAGUCCGCCGUGAAAGUCCAGGGCUCAACCCUGGGAUGCCGGUGGAAACUGUCGGGCUAGAGUCCGGAAGAGGCGAGUGGAAUUCCUGGUGUAGCGGUGAAAUGCGCAGAUAUCAGGAGGAACACCAAUGGCGAAGGCAGCUCGCUGGGACGGUACUGACGCUGAGACGCGAAAGCGUGGGGAGCGAACAGG
rnacentral:rRNA from 1 species